AGAUGUCUUCAGGGCAGGGUGAAAUUCCCGAUUGGCGGUACAGUCCGCGCGCGUGAUACGCAUGAUUUGGUGCAAUUCCAAAACCAACAGUGACAGUCUGGAUGAAAGAAGAUACCA
rfam:Flavonifractor plautii ATCC 29863 genomic scaffold Scfld297, whole genome shotgun sequence.